rnacentral:lncRNA from 1 species
AUUGGAUCCAUAGGGCAAGUGCAUAAAGAUUUAAAAAAAAAAAAAAGUGGGAAGAGACAGUGACACCAGGAGAGGUCCAAGGACAAAACCUUGGGGAAACGUGACACGUAGAAGUUAGGCAGAGAAAUAAAUCAGAAAGGGAAAGUGAAUAGUGACCAGAGGGAAAGGAGACCUGGAGAGAGCUGGUGGGGGGGGGGGNUCCCAGAGAUGUCAGGAAACAAUGUUUAGGAAGCAGGAGGGGAGUGCUCAAUUGUGUCAGAGUCUAAGACGAUUUCUAUCAUACCCACCAAGAGUUUCAUAGUGAAGUGAACCUGACUUUGCCUCCGAGCUUUGGGUAGGAGUAGCAACUGACACAACCUCUCCAAGAUUCCGAUCCAACUUCCUUUAAUUGGAGAAGAGCACUUAUCUCUUUCUCACAGGGCUAAAAUGCUUCACCUGGUGCUGACUGCAGAAAGCCCUCACCAAUGAUACCACCACCACUAUCAGGGAAAAUGAGAGAUGUGAUACACAAUUGUUCAAAAUACAGAGAUGCCUACUCUGAAAAAAUAAAGUCAUAAGAUUCUGCAGCAUUUAAUACUUUAAAGACAGAAGAUUGUGUGACUUCAAAAACAGUGAAAUUAUAGAUACCUGGAAAUGAGCAGCCUUUGUGUUGGAAGACAGGUAACUGGAAAUCAGAAGCUUUACGUACGGCUGGGUGAGGGACUUUAAAAUGAACAAAAACGAUGUUCAAACAAAGGGAUCUUGAGGACGCCUGUAUAAACAACAUCUUUACUUUAUGGAGAGGCCGAAUGUCUUAUGCAGAUCCCAUGGUGAGCAGCAGCCAGAGAAAGCUGCAGUGACUCUUCAGCUGCACUCCCUAUGUGUGUGGCUGGAGGAAUGAGCAAGGCACCAAGAGGACCUGAGGUGUGCCUUCGUCCACAGAGAGCAGCUUUCUGUAACCUCUGAGGCACAAAUAUUCCAUAAUGAUAUACCUCAUAAUGUGCAGUUUGCUCCUUUAUCAUAGAUCUUAGAAAACUGAUUCAAGAAAAAGAAGCAGAAAGGAUGUGUUAUUUUAGGAAAUAAAAAGAAUAUAG